rnacentral:lncRNA from 10 species
AAAGCCGGGAAGAGGAAAAGCUCGGACCUACCCUGUGGUCCCGGGUUUCUGCAGAGUCUACUUCAGAAGCGGAGGCACUGGGAGUCCGGUUUGGGAUUGCCAGGCUGUGGUUGUGAGUCUGAGCUUGUGAGCGGCUGUGGCGCCCCAACUCUUCGCCAGCAUAUCAUCCCGGCAGGCGAUAAACUACAUUCAGUUGAGUCUGCAAGACUGGGAGGAACUGGGGUGAUAAGAAAUCUAUUCACUGUCAAGGUUUAUUGAAGUCAAAAUGUCCAAAAAAAUCAGUGGCGGUUCUGUGGUAGAGAUGCAAGGAGAUGAAAUGACACGAAUCAUUUGGGAAUUGAUUAAAGAGAAACUCAUUUUUCCCUACGUGGAAUUGGAUCUACAUAGGUAAAUGAGUUACCCCUCCGUGUAGCAAACUCAGAAAGGAUAAUCUGGCUGGGCAUGGUGGUGCACACGUGAAGUCCCAGCUACUUAGGAGGCAGAGGCAGGAGGAUCCCUCAAGACCAGGAAUUCAAGUCCAGCCUGGGCAACAGAGUGAGACCCCAUCACUUUAAAA